GCGGACGUGGCGAAGUGGUUAACGCACCGGAUUGUGGCUCCGGCAUUCGUGAGUUCGAUUCUCAUCGUCCGCCCCA
rnacentral:tRNA from 46 species